AGUGAACGCUGGCGGUAGGCCUAACACAUGCAAGUCGAACGGCAGCACAGUAAGAGCUUGCUCUUACGGGUGGCGAGUGGCGGACGGGUGAGGAAUACAUCGGAAUCUACUUUUUCGUGGGGAAUAACGUAGGGAAACUUACGCUAAUACCGCAUACGACCUACGGGUGAAAGCAGGGGAUCUUCGGACCUUGCGCGAUUGAAUGAGCCGAUGUCGGAUUAGCUAGUUGGCGGGGUAAAGGCCCACCAAGGCGACAAUCCGUAGCGGGUCUGAGAGGAUGAUCAGCCACACUGGAACUGAGACACGGUCCAGACUCCUACGGGAGGCAGCAGUGGGGAAUAUUGGACAAUGGGCGCAAGCCUGAUCCAGCCAUACCGCGUGGGUGAAGAAGGCCUUCGGGUUGUAAAGCCCUUUUGUUGGGAAAGAAAAGCAGCAGGUUAAUACCCCGCUGUUCUGACGGUACCCAAAGAAUAAGCACCGGCUAACUUCGUG
rnacentral:rRNA from 1 species